CACUAGUUCUCAGUAGUAAUAACACUCCAUUUCAUGUCUCUCAGUAGAUGAAGCCAGCUGCAACCCGUAGAGUGGAGUUGUGGAGAGAGCCCCUCGCCCCUCAGCUAAACCAGAGUAAAUGAAGCCAGCACCAACCUGUGGAGUGGAGUCCAGGAGAGAGCAUGCCGCCCCUCAGCUAAACCAGAUCAGAUAAAGCCAACUGGAACCAUAUUUUUACAUAUUUUAUAUUAAAUAUAUUGAAUAAAACUACAUAUGAUAAAGAAAGUGUUAUCUUAUCUUUUUUAUAUGCUAAACUUGAUUAAAUUGGUGAUUACAUGUUGAA